UUGAAGCGUUUGGCAUCCCCCUGCACUGUUGAAACUAUACUUCCUUCAGAAGGAUAGCUGGUGUAUAGGGAGAGUUAAUCUCUCUUGGUAAGAAUUCUACAUCGGUUAAAAGUUACAAUAAAAUGUCAAUGUUGGUAUCAAUCAAUUAGCAAGAAAGAAUAGACGAGCUAAUCUAUCUAGAGGUAGGGAGGAUAAAAUUUCCUAUAAGAGUUGUUGAAAUGGGUUUAUCGGAAUCUUUAGGUGAUAACAGUAAAGACCGUGGCGUGAAGGGAAGAGAAAACGAGAAAUCAGCACAAGAUAAGAAAGACAAAAUCGUAUCAUAAUCUGAAUCGGUGAAGAGACCUGGAUCAGAAAAGGCUUCAGAGGAGAGACUAGGUUGGGAAGACGAAGCAAUUAAUAUGUUUAUCCUCGAAAAAUCAAACCAUAACGAUGGAUGUAAAAAUACAUUACAAAAUAUGUUAAGGUUGGAAGAGGAACAGAUAAGUGGAAAGAGGGUUGAACCUAGUUUGGGAGAGAAGGAUAAAAGCGGGUAUAGCAAUCGAGCCAUGGAAAAUGUGAGUAACAUGGGCUUUUUAGUAGCUAUAUUAGGAUUGGAAACUAUAGAGGGAGCAAAAAGAUGAGUAAAGAGAAAUUGAGUAGGGUGUGGGCUUAAUGGUAGAUUUGGGCUUACAGAUAGGCAACUCCAAAGAGUCAGGGGGAACCAGAUUGUAGUAUUCUUAUUAAAAGAUCUAGAGUUUUGGUAGGGGAGAAACAAACAGAGAAAAAAAGGUUUCAGAGGGGGAAUCUCUAAUUUUUCUUAAACAUAAGAAGCAAAAAACCCCUGGUCGAAAGAUUAGAUCGAUGUAUGAAAUUCAAGAUAGAAUCAUUUCUGUAGCAGAGAAGAAGUGAGAUCGGACGUUGAGAAAGAAAAAAUGAAAAAGAACCACAUCCAAAGGGGAGGUUGUUGUUAACGCCUCUCUCUUCGACUCUGACAGCAACAAUAGAAAGAGAGUGAUUCUUAGGGAGGCUAGGAACGCAUGGGAAGUGGAAAAAAACUUCGGUUCUGUGUUUGAGGUGACAAGUUAGAAGUUGUGGAUGAGAUUAUGAAACUAGAAGAGAGGUAGAUCAGAGCAACAAAGGAAAGAGCAGGGGUCUGUAGGCCAUUGUGCAGGGGUGCAAUUUGGGGCUAAAUAGAAGAAAAAGGAAACAAUUGGGCUAGAUUGAAGAAAGGAGCAAAGAAGGAGGGCCAAAGCAAAAUUUUUCCAAGAUUAAUUAGCUGAAAUUUUUGUUGACUUAGUGGGAGAUUAUGUAGGGAUUUUUAAUAUUUUAUUCCUUGAUUUUCUAUACUAGUUGGCUCUUAAUUUAGCAAAGCCACUAGUAUAAAUAGUAGACUACUUUGUUCAUUUUUAUCAUCAAGUCUUGAAUCAAGUUUUUAAUUACCAAGUUUUUUUUUAUUAAGUAUCCAUUUCAGCUUUAGGGCGGAAUUAGCCUCGUCAAAACCCAUGAGUUACGAACCCGAGCAAAUUAAUUCCUAAACUCUAGUACUUAUUAUUUCUCUGGAUUAAGAGUAUGAUUUUGUCAGCUCAUAAAGUCCGAUCAACACUAAGUCAAAAAAGACGUCGUUUGAGUUAGUGUAGUUAGAUGUACAGUUGGAAUUCCGAAAGGAACGUUCCUAAUCGGUUUUCUGUGAACACAUUGGCGUGCCAAGUGGAGAUAGCUGUUUGGUUCCGUCAAGGGAAGUAGUAACCGGAUUUAAAUGUCCCACGCGGUUGAGGACAUUGGUUCGAGCUAGGCUCUUCUAGAACGCAAGGCUGUCGGAGUUCUAAAUCACAAACGUUUCGUGGUUGUUCGAUUGGUAAGGGUUAGUUAUUGGACGUUCCAUAACUAAUUUACACAAGGAAGAGUUGGUGUCCGAGGCGUCCUUGGUAGCUAUAACUAGCUUAUUGGAAAAGAGGAGUUCAUCUAAUUUCGAGGAUCGGUUCAAAGACGAGGAAAAAUCCGUGCCUAAAGCUGAGCUUAUUUUAAUUAAUUUUUCUUCAGAUUUAUUUAACUGCUUUUUAUUAUUUAUUUUCAGCUUUUACUUUUUACACAUUUUAUUUAUUUAUUUCAGGUUCCAGGUUUUCGAUUUUAUCCUCCCCCCAAAUUUCUUGGGCACGACAACUGCCCCGACAUAAAUCUGGUCAAGAGAGCAACAAUUUGCAGUAAACCCAGUCUCUGAGGCUAUUGAUGGUUUUGGCCUGCGAAAUGUAGCUAUUGCUUUGGAGGAUGAAGCGGGUUGUGGUGGGGUUUUGAGAGAUGAUAAAGGAGUGGCUUGUGUGUUAUUCUCGGGGAGGACUUAAGAUAGGGAAUCAGAAAUGACAAAUAUAAGGGCAAUUAAAACAUAUGUGGAUAUGUAUAUUGGGUCAUGUUGGAAGGCGCAUAUACCUUUAGUCAUCGAAUUUUGCUCGAGUGUAACUUCGGAAUGGUUGAUGAAUAGGAAUUAUAGACCGUGAUCGUUACGGAAAUUGUUUGGGGAUAUCGACUGUGGCACUAACCAAUUGGCUCAAUUUCGGUUCAAAGAUAUUCACAAGUAAGGUAAUGGUAUGGAGGACGCUUUAGCAAAAGCUGGUAUAUCAUGAUCUUCCUUUUUUUUUAAAGCACGCUGGUGAAUUUUGUUUAAUGCAUUAUAGUUCUAGUUGCCUGGAGGAUUUUGUCUUUGGUUGUCAGUAGUAAUACUGUUGUAUUCAUGUUGUCCUUGAAAGAUGUUGAUGAUUCUAAUGUCUUUCUCGAUUUUACAUUA